UACGUAGGGGGCAAGCGUUGUCCGGAAUUACUGGGCGUAAAGCGCGUGUAGGCGGUUGUCCAAGUUGGAUGUGAAAGCCUUGAGCUCAACUCAAGAAAUGCAUUCAGGACUGGAUGACUAGAGGACCGGAGAGGAUAGUGGAAUUCCCAGUGUAGUGGUGAAAUACGUAGAGAUUGGGAAGAACACCAGUGGCGAAGGCGGCUAUCUGGACGGUUUCUGACGCUAAGACGCGAAAGCGUGGGGAGCAAACAGG
rnacentral:rRNA from 1 species